UAUCAAUAAGCGGAGGAAAAGAAACCAACAGGGAUUGCCUCAGUAGCGGCGAGUGAAGCGGCAAAAGCUCAAAUUUGAAAUCUGGCGUCUUUGGCGUCCGAGUUGUAAUUUGAAGAAGGUAUCUUUGGGCCCGGCUCUUGUCUAUGUUCCUUGGAACAGGACGUCACAGAGGGUGAGAAUCCCGUGCGAUGAGAUGACCCGGGUCUGUGUAAAGUUCCUUCGACGAGUCGAGUUGUUUGGGAAUGCAGCUCUAAGUGGGUGGUAAAUUCCAUCUAAAGCUAAAUAUUGGCGAGAGACCGAUAGCGAACAAGUACAGUGAUGGAAAGAUGAAAAGAACUUUGAAAAGAGAGUGAAAAAGUACGUGAAAUUGUUGAAAGGGAAGGGCUUGAGAUCAGACUUGGUAUUUUGCAUGUUGCUCUCUCGGGGGCGGCCGCUGCGGUUUACCGGGCCAGCAUCGGUUUGGAGCGGCAGGAUAAUGGCGGAGGAAUGUGGCACGGCUUCUGCUGUGUGUUAUAGCCUCUGACGAUACUGCCAGCCUAGACCGAGGACUGCGGUUUUUAACCUAGGAUGUUGGCAUAAUGAUCUUAAGUCGCCCGUCUUGAAACACGG
rnacentral:rRNA from 1 species